GAGAACCCCAGUUUUGUUCCAAUAAGAGGCAGAAACCUCUUGGUCUCAGGAAAGAUAGACUCCAUCCCCCAGCCUUGUGAUGAAUUCUAUUUGGGUUGAGACAGUCACAGUAAAUCCAUCCCCUUUGCCUGAUUUCCACUUUCCCAGCUUCCUUCACCACAAGCAAUGCCAUGAGACACUCUUCUGGUCAAUGAGAUUUGAGAAGCCAGGUGGGAGCUCUCGCUGCUACACCACUGCUUACUUGCCUCUCUGCACAGGGUGCUGGAAUGUGGACAUGAUGCCGGGAGCUGCAGCAGCCUUGUUGGGUCAAUAAGACAUCAAGUAGGAGAAACAAAAGCCAACACUGCUAGUAAUAUUCUAUUUCCUGAUUGUUACAUUUGUAACACGUAACACACAACAUUUUGUGAGAAUUCAAGGAGCUGUGCAUUUUUCUGUUAGUGUGUUACACCUCACAAAAACAGUUAACUAAAAAUCUAACACCCUGAGGAUGGCAGAGCAAACCCCUGAAAACAUGGGUGAACUGGUUAACCAGCCUCAAAUACUGUAACUCGGAGCUUCUGAUUAAGAGAAUCAAAAGCCUUUGUUGCUUAAUUACUAGGUUUUCUAAUACUUGCA
rnacentral:lncRNA from 1 species